rnacentral:rRNA from 1 species
AACGAACGCUGGCGGCAUGCCUAACACAUGCAAGUCGAACGAGACCUUCGGGUCUAGUGGCGCACGGGUGCGUAACGCGUGGGAAUCUGCCCUUCGGUUUGGAAUAACUGAGAGAAAUUUCAGCUAAUACCUUAUAAUGUCUUCGGACCAAAGAUUUAUCGCCGAGGGAUGAGCCCGCGUAGGAUUAGGUAGUUGGUGGGGUAAUGGCCUACCAAGCCGACGAUCCUUAGCUGGUCUGAGAGGAUGAUCAGCCACACUGGGACUGAGACACGGCCCAGACUCCUACGGGAGGCAGCAGUGGGGAAUAUUGGACAAUGGGCGAAAGCCUGAACCAGCAAUGCCGCGUGAGUGAUGAAGGCCUUAGGGUAGUAAAGCUCUUUUACCCGGGAUGAUAAUGACAGUACCGGGAGAAUAAGCACCGGCUAACUACGUG